rnacentral:misc_RNA from 1 species
AGUGACACUUCGUUCUGACAGCUGUAAUCCAAAACUAAAACAGAAACACCCGGUAGUAGAUAAAUAAAUUUUUAGUUUCUGAAAAGCAAAAUCAAUGGAAUUUUAGGAUUUUUUCAACAAUGGGAUCGGAGAGCGAAGAUGUUCACGUUGAAGACUCAGAUGAAUCCCUUUUGGAUUUCAAAGAGAUUGAUGAUUUGGAAUGUGACAUACCUCAGGUUGCCCCUCCAUCACUGGAAAAUAUCCUGUGGGAUAUGGAAUCGGAGGCCAGUGAUAGCGCAUCUUUACAUUCUUUUCAGAGCAUGACUAAUAAGUUUCAUUCUAUGCUGUAUCAUUGUGUUCUGCAGGGUGUUUCUUCCCAGAUUUCGUCAGCAGCUGAUAGAGUUAACGCAGGGUCACCAACAGUAAUAACAAAUAGCUUAAACUAUGUAGCAGUGGGAACAUCACACGGAUACAUUCUGGCAUUCGAUUGCCAACAGAAUUUGUGUUGGUGUUCCCACGAUACCAGCACGAUCGAUCAGGGUGCAGUUUCAGCCAUAUCAUUUAAUUUGGAGUCAACCAGACUUUUGGUGGGUUAUGAGAGAGGAUUCAUUUCAAUGAUAGAUGCAUUGACGGGCGAUAUUCUUCGGAGAUUGCCAGAUGCACAUGCUCCUCAAACAGCAGUGCUGUUGCUAAGAUUCACAUUUCUCAGCAAUUUGGCUUUAUGUGGUGACUCAUCAGGAUGUGUAUUUUCUCUUUCGUUUAGUAGAAGACUGGGGGUCCGAUCAUGGAAUUCCAAGUGUCUGUUUUCAGGUGCUAGAGGAGAAGUAUGUGUUUUUGAGCCGCUAGUGAGAGGACAUGACUUGAAUUUUCUCAACAACAAUGUUUUGGUAGCUAUGGCGACUCUAUCAAAGGUAAUAGUGAUAUCUGUGCGCCCAAAGUUAAAAGUGUACUACAGCCAACAACUACCUCGAAUAUCAACUUCUCUCCCCCUAAUAUCCUGGCAACUGGUCUCCGUUGGCAAAUCAUUCCAGCCAGUUCUGGCUUGGGGCAGAGGCAAUGAACUACACUACACCAGAGUCGUCACGCACGGGUACAACAACAAUAGGAUAACGUUGCUUCCAUUGCGCAAAGUCCAAGUGCCUUACACUAUGAACUCUCUGCAUUGGCUGGGUACGAGACACUUGGCGAUUUUGGACACCAGCGAGAACUUAAGAUUAGUCGAAGUGAGGAAUCAGCGGGAGCUGGAAGUUUUGGAGAUAUCUAAUGCAGGUUUGGUGUACAAUUCGGCUCAUUUUAAGGCUCUGGCUGUCGGUGGAGGUGUCAGCGAAGCGUUUGCCUUAGCAGGUGAACGCGCCUGUUACAAUAGUUUAUCUAGUCGAGGAGACCAGCUGUUAGUUUUGGGCACGAGGGCCGUGCACAUGAUCAAGUUGAGAACCUGGUCCGAAAGGCUCUUCUACCUCAGCGAUCAAGGUAGAUGGGCGGAGGCGCUCAAUCUAGCCACCGCCGAAGGAUCGAGCAAGGAGAAAUUUGCCAUACCGUUGAUAAAUAAGUAUUUGGAGAACAUCAAUUUGAAUCCCAUCGAUAAGGAGAGCCUUACGGCUGCUAUCAACUGUUGCAUAAAGUUGGGAAAGAUUGAUAUUCUGUGCAACGAACUGUACGAAGCCAUCUCCACCGACCAAAGCAAAAAAGACUGGUACUACACACUGUUAACCGACCAGAUCUGCUCCGGAUCUCUGACGGUUCUAUCUCCACUCAUAGCUCAACAAUUAGUAAGGUAUUUAGAAGAAAGAGACUGCGAAACGUUAGAAAAUGUGCUAUUAUCUUUAGAUAUAUCGUGCUUAGACUUACAUCAGGUUCUAAAGAUUUGUAAGAAGUUGAAGAUGUAUAACGCUUGGAUACACAUCACUACUGGUACUCUCAAGGAUUACACCAGCCCGUUGACUGAAUUUCUUUGUGAUUUUACUCCUGAUAAUCAUAAAUUAGGCAAUAUUUUACUAGUCUACGUUUCGUCUUGCUUAGCCGGUCUCGGCUACCCAAGCGGAAACAUACCAGACAAUGAAGCUGCUAGAGUAAAAUUUGACGUUCUGAGGUGCCUAGAGACGACUCAUUCUAUCAAAUACAAUCCAGACGAACCUAUUUAUCCGUAUUUGAGGGCCUUAUUGAAAUAUAAUACGAGGGACUGUUUGAAUGUCGUCGAAUUGGCGUUUUCUCAACCUGAGUUUUCCGGAGAAAUGGGCCUUUUACAGAGACAGAGGCUGGUUCAGAUUUUAAUGCAGAUUGUUAAACCUGGAGAUUUUUCUGAUAGCCAAGUCAUCAAUCUGUCGUGUUUCGUAGCAAGAAUGGUAGCGUCAAAUAAUAUAUCCCUCGAUAAUCACGUAUUAGAUUCGGCGAUCAAAUCUCUUACAGAAAUAGGUAACUCUUUAUCUAUAAGAGAUAGAUCGGAGCGAGAGCAAGCGUGGCUUGAUUUGUUGAAUUUAAACAAAAUGAACCAUUUAAAAACUAGUCAUCUACUUAAGUUAGCGUUAGAAUCCAAAUGCUACAAGGUAGCAGAACGUUUAUACGAAAUGCAAGGCGACUAUUCCAGCAUCUUGAAUUGUUACCUUCACGAUCCAGUGCGUAAAUACGAAGUAUUCAGUUAUAUUUUUAAGUACAUUAGUGUAAGCGAAAGACUCGUCCGAGAACAAUUCCUAGUGUGUUUCAAAGAUCUAGUCGCGAUAAGUGCUAAAAAGACCGUAGAGAUAGUGACUGAAUUUUUCCAGUCGGUGUUAGAACAACUUUGUGAUAUAUUGGAAAGUGAUCCAAACCUUCAGUACGACUUUCUUAGUGAAAUAGUUCAAACGGACCUUAAGUUAACGCCUCAAUUGUCGGAGAAGUACUUAGAUCAGUUGUGCGUGAGGAAUAAGUCGCAAGUUUGUAAUUAUCUUCAGUCGAGUAAUUGUAGGAGCGAGGAAGCUCUAGCGAUUACGAGGAAGUAUGAGGUCCAUGAAGCUGUGGCGUUGCUUUUGGAGUCCAGCGGGGAAUGGAUGGAGGCUUUAGAGUUGUUUUUAGAGCAUGAGAUGGUCGAUGCUGCUGUCAGUUUGUGUAUACGAGGCGUAGAGCAUUUAUCACCUGAAGAUUCCCAGUCGCUGUGGUUAAAAUUGCUCCAAACUCGGAAUAGCAUCUCAGGAUUAUCACUCAGGCAUCUCCUACACGCAGCUGCUCCACACGUACCUCCUGCACAGAUGCUCAACUUGGUAUCGAACGCCAGUUUUGGAGAUGUGAGGGGAUUGGUGCAAGGCAUAUUAAAUGAUUAUGCGUAUGACAUUAAUAUGCUUACAACCACGUUUAAGUUGUUAGGUAAAGAUUUGCAUUUAGGUUUAGUGAAAGUCCUGUCGUCAAAAGGCAGAGGAACAGCAGUGUCCAAUCUCGUAUGCACACUGUGUCAAAAAAUACUCCUGUACAGAAAAGAACUCGACAGCAAUGAAUCGUUCUACGUAUGGAACUGCGGUCAUUGUUUCCAUUCCGCGUGUAUUAAGGGUGCUGAAGUAAACGAUGCUUGUCCUCAAUGUAGACAUAAGGGAGCUAUGUUACCAAAAAUCAAGAGACUUACGAAUAAGGAAGAUGAUAAUAGAGUCAAUCAUCAGAGUAGACCAGACCUCGAAGGUCAUUUUUGAUUAAAUUAUUGAAAUUUUAGCUAAACAAUUCUGUUAUUAAAUAAUGGAAAGUCUAUUUAUAUUUAUUAUUUUAAAUAUUUUAUUAAAUUUAUAUUUGCA